AGCUUGUUGGAUGAUUUGAUAGGCUUCAUUGAGUUUCUUGAAUUCAUCAAUAGACAUGGAAUGACCAGGACCAGUCUGUUCGAAGCGGUUGCAAGUAA
rnacentral:tRNA from 1 species